rnacentral:misc_RNA from 1 species
AGAAAUCAUGCAAUUCCUUCUAAUCACUGACAUCAAAUACAUAGUACAAAGUCGGUGAAAAAUGACAUACAAUCGUGCGAUCAGUAUGCAAAAGCUCACUGAUGUCACACUUUUCAAGUCCCCUAAAAAACUUUCAGAUAGCUAAACUGAUAUGCCUGUAUAGAAAAUUACAAUCCUCGCAGAUUCCACGCCAGAAUCGAACAGAUCAACUGCAUGCAAACUGCUUUUAGCUCAGAUCUGCACUGAUGUUAAGCUGUUUUUGCUCUCUUCCAUACAAUGACGGUGCCGCCAAAAUCAGACGACGCUAACAAGUUCUCUCCAUGAUUCCAAGCAAUACCUAUUACUGGAUAGCCAUGGCCCUGAAGUUUGUUAACACAUGUAUUCUUUGGUCGAGUCAAAUCAUAAAAGUAAACAUUUGCAUCUUCACUCCCAGCAACUUCAAGUUGACAGAAUGAAUAACUACGUAAGUUGUGGAAGAAAUUCAUUUACAGUAGAAACUGUCAACAUGUUUUACAUCCAUGAAGCUUCAGG